UCUUUAAAAAAAAAUUCAUGUUUAAGGUCAUCGUCAAGAGCUCGAACAUUCAGAUGCAAGAUGAAAUUUACAGUGUUGUUAAGGUUAUAGAUGAGGAGCAACUGAUGAAGAAAUAUACUUAUGCUCCACGUUCAAAUGCCUUCACCGACCCUAACUUCAAUAUUAUUCAAGACGUAGACGAAGAGAAGGAAUGCGAGAUGUUUUGAAGGGUGCACUAAAGAACCUAAUUAUUAGAAUUCAAGGAGUUUAUAUUCAGCAGUAAGCAGGUAUAUAUGAUGUAUUAAAACAGUUUAAUAAACUGUAUUA